rnacentral:rRNA from 1 species
UGGGGAAUAUUGGACAAUGGGCGAAAGCCUGAUCCAGCCAUGCCGCGUGUGUGAAGAAGGUCUUCGGAUUGUAAAGCACUUUAAGUUGGGAGGAAGGGCAUUAACCUAAUACGUUAGUGUUUUGACGUUACCGACAGAAUAAGCACCGGCUAACUCUGUGCCAGCAGCCGCGGUAAUACAGAGGGUGCAAGCGUUAAUCGGAAUUACUGGGCGUAAAGCGCGCGUAGGUGGUUUGUUAAUUUGGAUGUGAAAUCCCCGGGCUCAACCUGGGAACUGCAUUCAAAACUGACUGACUAGAGUAUGGUAGAGGGUGGUGGAAUUUCCUGUGUAGCGGUGAAAUGCGUAGAUAUAGGAAGGAACACCAGUGGCGAAGGCGACCACCUGGACUAAUACUGACACUGAGGUGCGAAAGCGUGGGUAGCAAACA